rnacentral:rRNA from 1 species
AGUAGUUGACUCUGGACUCAGGACACGCUGGCGGCGUGCUUAACACAUGCAAGUCGAACGAUGAAAGAGAAUCCGAUCUCUUCGGAGUGAAGAAUCUCUGGAUUAGUGGCGGACGGGUGAGUAACGCGUGAGCAAUCUGCCUUACACAAAGGGAUAGCCUCGGGAAACCGGGAUUAAUACCAUAUGAUAUCUACGUCACCGCAUGGUGAUUAGAUUAAAGAGAUUCGGUGUAAGAUGAGCUCGCGUCCCAUUAAUUAGUUGGUGAGGGUAACGGCCCACCAAGAUAGCGAUGGGUAGCCGAUCUAAGAGGAUGACCGGCCACAUUGGAACUGAGAAACGGUCCAAACUCCUACGGGAGGCAGCAGUGGGGAAUAUUGCACAAUGGGGGAAACCCUGAUGCAGCGACGCCGCGUGAGCGAUGAAGGCUUUCGAGUCGUAAAGCUCUGUCCUAUGGGAAGAUAAUGACGGUACCAUAGAAGAAAGCCCCGGCUAAUUACGUG